GGUGGGUUGGCUCAGUGGUUAGAGCGUAGGACCGAAAGGUCGCGGGAUCGAAUCCCGCUAUAAGCUG
rnacentral:tRNA from 1 species